rnacentral:tRNA from 1 species
GGUGGUGCAGAGGUUAAGCAUUUGGCUGCUAACCAAAAGGUUGAUGGUUUGAAUCCACCAGCCACUG